rnacentral:tRNA from 1 species
GGCGCUGUGGCAGAGCGGUUGAAUGCGACGGUCUUGAAAACCGUUAGGGGCGUCAGCUCCUCGUGGGUUCGAAUCCCACCGGCGCCG